UCUUCUGGAAGCAGCAGCGAUCCUUGUUAGUUGCAACCUGUGCCACAGCGCUACAGCCACGCACAGUAGGCGUCUUUGUGUUACCAUGGCGAUGACAUCUUCCGUUUUCCAGUGAGGCGACAGGGCGUCCCAUUCCUGACGAUCGUAUUUAUACCCUCCCCCUUCAAUAAUAGGUGCCCUCCACAGCUGCGAGUGUGACUUCUUUUGGAGUGACACUCGGUAGUGGAGGGGGAGUGUGUAGGGGGCGGUUUGGGAUUCAGCCCGGGUCAACCUACUCCGAGUUAAUUAACCCAACUCAUAUCAGCCGUUGUGAAACCGAAAACUCAGAGUUUUCUAUCUCAGAGUAGAUCAACUCAGAGUCGCAGAAGAAACUCAGAGUUUCUUGAACCUGCUUCGUGAAACAGGCCCCUGGAGUUGGAGUUGGUGUUAAUUCCCAGCGUUAAAUAAGGUAGUGUUAGAAGUACUCUGAAGAGCUCUGCCCACGUCCUCCUCAUUUUCAAACUCCUUGGAAUGUUGAGUACGCCAUUUUCUCAAAGUGGAAAGAGUGCGGAAACAUGCUACUGAAGGUGAAACUUGGCGAUGCCCAAACGUUUGUUCGAAUAACUGAGCCAAAUCUAUCAGACUUUUUGAAUGCAGCAUUUGCCAAAUUUGGUGUCCCAGCUGUAAUGGAAGGUGUUAGAGUCGUUGACAGUUCAGGGACUGAGUUGGAUGAUGAUGUCUUUGAGGACAUCAUAAAAGAUCCCUCCACUGGGGUGCUAACCAUUACAUAUGAAAAAGAAUUUGUCUCCAUGGUAGCCUCAACUGAGUCCCAGGUUUCAUCUGUUGCUUCAUCGGACUCUGAUACAAUUAUCCUUCCAGACAGCCCUUCCAGAAAGCGUCAGAGGCUGGAUUCGGAAGCUAAGCAAUGUGUAUAUCUAUCUUGGCUGGCCGCUCCCUCCGGUGCUGCGUUGGUCCGUUCUCCUCUGUCACAGCUGAUGUUUUGUCAUUAUCGCUCUCGUAGGAAAGACUUCAUCCCUGCAAAGCAAGAUUAGAGACUGCACACACAACAAGCUCAUGUUCUUUAAUGAUUAUGGCUUACGUCAAAAACUAUCUGUAUCUUUAUUAUCAAAAACUGUCUGUACUUUGAUUAUCAAUCACUUUAUGUCUUGAUCAUCCUUGCAUUCAAUCACAUGAGUAAUAAGUAGAAAUAAAGCAUAAGCUCCUUCUUAUUGAUUCUGGACUUUUCUACUCUUUGUUUCAUUACAGUCACACCGUGGUAAUGAUGCUCUUGACCUUCCUAUUCCUCAGAACCAAUACAACUCUUAGAUAUGCACACUUAGCAAUUAUGAAACACACCAUUUCCCACAGUGGUUCUGAUUACUGUAUCGACAUUUGUGGCUAUGCCUUUUGGCUAAAUAUAUAAUAAGAUUAUUAAUAUAAAAUUGUUUUCUUUUGGUAGAUGGAUAGUCUGUGAAGCCAAACAAUAUAUGUUCAAAGCAUAAGAAAAAAUCUGAUUCAAUACAAGUAGAAAUCAAUUUGCAAAUAUCUACCCAUAAUUUGGUGGAGAAGGGGCAAGACCAAAAUAAAUGAAAUACAUCUUCAGGGUGUCCUUCACAGAAAGAGCAAGUUCAUAUCUAUGUCUCUUUUAAAUUGCUGCAAAAUGUUAGGAUCCUGUUCCAGCUCCUGCCCUUCUUCCUCCUUUUCCUUCUUUUCCCCAUUAUUGCUCAUCUGUGUGUUUUGACUUGUUUUUCUUUGGAUCCCUCUAUCUGUCAUCUCUCCCUCCUGUCUCUUUCUCCCAAUCAGUCACCCUCUUGCGCUACCUGCCCUCUACUAGCUGAUUACUGCUAUGAGUGUCAGCUGCAGUAAUCAGCUAAACACUACUCACCUGUUCUCCACCUCACCUCAGCUAUUUAAGCUCUGUGCCUUCUUUCAAUCCUUGCUGGAUCAUUGACUCACUUGUGUCACAGAUUCAGUUCCCCCACCAAAACCUACCACCUCUGGACUAUGUCAGUUUAUGGACACUUCUGCUUCCCCCCUUUAUGGAUUUCCCCUCUUGGACUCUGUUUUGCUCCUGUAUGUUUUGGAUUGACCUCAGGCCUGUUUGCUCCCUUGGUUAUUAGUUUCCCCUGUGUGUGAGUACCUCUCCUUAGCUCUGUCGUCUUCAGCUGCUUGGUUUCAUAGCAUUUAGUAUUGUUUUGUUUUUGCUCUGCCUCCUCAGUCCUGUUCUCAGUUUAUAUAGAAGUUUAGAUUCUGGUUUAAUAAAACAACUUCAAUAAUUCACUUAUCUGCCAGUCUCGCUUCGUCUGCCGCCUGGGUUCUCCA